GCCUGGGUGGCUCAGUUGGUUAAGCAUCUGACUCUGGCUCAGAUCAUGACCUCACGGCUUGUGGGUUUGAGCCCCGCGUCAGGCU
rfam:Felis catus isolate Cinnamon breed Abyssinian chromosome A2, whole genome shotgun sequence.